AUGUGUGUGUAUUGGGUUAAAUUAUAGUUUUGGUCUUCGAACAUCUGAGAUUUUGUCUUAUAGGUCAUUCUAAUAAGUUUUUGAACUGUCAUUGUCGUGUCAAAUUGGUCUUUGAAACUUAAGUGUUGAAGAAGUCUUUGAGUUGGUCAACUUUAGGAAGUGUGUAGAAAGUUCUCUCUUGUAAAAAAAGUGAUUCUUUUUUGUCAAGUCGAUGUCUUGUUGAACAAUUUUUGAAAGUUUAGGGUUGUAUCAGACAAAAUUGAAAGUCAAGGGAUUUAUUAAUAAUCUUUUAAAAUUCAAAGACAUAUCACAAACUUAAAGGUUGAGGGACCAAACUUGUAGUUUAAUCUUUCACAAAAUUCUCAACUAACAUUAUCUUGUCGGUCUCUCCUUGCCCGUGGUUGAUCCAUCCCAGUAAUCCUAGUUCCCUUUUCUUCACCUUGCCUUGGAAGGCUAAAACCUUGAAGAGGAUUGUAUUUUUCUCUUGGUUGGUUAUUUUGGGGAGGUUGAUGCCAUUUACUUUUACUUCAUCCAAAACAUCUUCAUUAUGGUUGUGUGCUCCUAAUGCUGUGUGCUCUGCAAGGAGGUGGAAGAUCUAAACCAUGUAUUUGCACGUGUGAAUAUGCUGUAAAAAUAUGAAAAUAGUUUUGGAUGCGUUUGGCUCCUCUAGAAGUCAUAAGGGACAUUAUGGAGGAGGUGCUUGUUAAUCCUUCAUUUCAUACUAGUGGUUUAAUUAUUUGGCCAGCAACGUUCUUUGUGAGUAUAUGAAACUUAUUGCUGCAAAGAAAUUGGAAAACUUUUCCAAUGGGAACUUGGCCAUUUGUGAAUCCAUGUGGUUGGCUGCCCCAAAAGCUGACGUCUUUUUGAUUUUUUGUCUCCUAAUUGGCUUUUGGUUGGUCCUUGAUCCCCCCCCUCCCCUUGGAAAGCAUCCCUGACUUCUUGGCCCCCCGUUUCCUUGGAUCCUUCCAUA